rnacentral:rRNA from 1 species
GACGAACGCUGGCGGCGCGCUUAACACAUGCAAGUCGAGCGAUGAAAUCUUGACAGAUCCCUUCGGGGUGAAGAUAAGAUGGAUUAGCGGCGGACGGGUGAGUAACACGUGAGUAACCUGCCUUAGACAUUGGGAUAGCCUCGGGAAACCGGGAUUAAUACCAAAUAAAAUCAUAGGUGCCCAUGCACUAAUGAUCAAAACUCCGGUGGUCUAAGAUGGACUCGCGUCCCAUUAGCUAGUUGGUGAGGUAACGGCCCACCAAGGCGACGAUGGGUAGCCGGCCUGAGAGGGUGAACGGCCACAUUGGAACUGAGAAACGGUCCAAACUCCUACGGGAGGCAGCAGUGGGGAAUAUUGCACAAUGGAGGGAACUCUGAUGCAGCGACGCCGCGUGAACGAUGAAGGCUUUCGAGUCGUAAAGUUCUUUUAUAUGGGAAGAUAAUGACGGUACCAUAAGAAAAAGCCCCGGCUAACUACGUGCCAGCAGCCGCGGUAAUACGUAGGGGGCUAGCGUUGUCCGGAAUCACUGGGCGUAAAGGGUUCGCAGGCGGAAAUGCAAGUCAGAUGUAAAAGGCAGUAGCUUAACUACUGUAAGCAUUUGAAACUGCAUAUCUUGAGAAGAGUAGAGGUAAGUGGAAUUUUUAGUGUAGCGGUGAAAUGCGUAGAUAUUAAAAAGAAUACCGGUGGCGAAGGCGACUUACUGGGCUCAUUCUGACGCUGAGGAACGAAAGCGUGGGUAGCAAACAGGAUUAGAUACCCUGGUAGUCCACGCUGUAAACGAUGAGUGCUAGGUAUCGGAAUAAUUCGGUGCCGCAGUUAACACAUUAAGCACUCCGCCUGGGGAGUACGUGCGCAAGCAUA